AACCACCCCAUAUAUAUGUAUGUAGUGGAGUUUGCAACUGAAAAGAAACUUUGUGCUCCCAACAAGCUAGUUGAGAGACGUCUUUCACACACACUUAUCUCU